rnacentral:rRNA from 1 species
GGUGCCAGCAGCCGCGGUAAUUCCAGCUCCCAUAGCGUAUAUUAAAGUUGUUGCAGUUAAAAAGCUCGUAGUUGAAUUUCGGGGUUCCACCGUUGGUCGGGCAAUUGUCUGUACUGGCGUGUGGAAUUUCUACCUUCUGGGGAACCAUCAUGUUAUUAAUUUAGCGUGGGGGGAAACCCGGAACUUUACCUUG